rnacentral:tRNA from 1 species
GGGUAUAGCUCAGUGGUACAGCACAUGCUUAGCAUGCAUGAGGUCCUGGCUUCAAUCCCAGUACCUCCA